rnacentral:rRNA from 1 species
CCUACGGGUGGCAGCAGUAGGGAAUCUUCCACAAUGGGCGAAAGCCUGAUGGAGCAACGCCGCGUGGGUGAAGAAGGUCUUCGGAUCGUAAAACCCUGUUGUUAGAGAAGAAAGUGCGUGAGAGUAACUGUUCACGUUUCGACGGUAUCUAACCAGAAAGCCACGGCUAACUACGUGCCAGCAGCCGCGGUAAUCCGUAGGUGGCAAGCGUUAUCCGGAUUUAUUGGGCGUAAAGGGAACGCAGGCGGUCUUUUAAGUCUGAUGUGAAAGCCUUCGGCUUAACCGGAGUAGUGCAUUGGAAACUGGGAGACGUGAGUGCAGAAGAGGAGAGUGGAACUCAAUGUGUAGCGGUGAAAUGCGUAGAUAUAUGGAAGAACACCAGUGGCGAAAGCGGCUCUCUGGUCUGUAACUGACGCGGAGGUUCGAAAGCGUGGGUAGCAAACAGGAUUAGAUACCCUGGUAGUC